AUGGCUAGUUAUAUCAAUCAAUCUCGACUAUGGGAGAUUUUGUGCGUUGUUUUUAUUUUGCUCUCAGGAUUCAUAACUAGUUUAGAUGCCGUUCCUCCAGGACCGAUAUAUAAAUGCGCUGGCCCUGAGAAUUGCCCUGAUGAUCAAAAGUGCGAAAGCUUUUGCUUUUUCUUCGGAUAUAAGAAUGGUGCUAGAUGCAUUGGAAACGAUCCCCAAUCAAAGAUUUGUUGUUGUAUUAUUAUGUAA